ACCCUCUCAGGGUCGCACCUGGAGAGUGUCCAGUACUCUACCAGUUUUGGCUAUGGGAGGGAGAGUCAGCAGAAGCAUACCCAUUCCACUGCUAGCUUGGGCAGUGGCUAGCAAGUGGAAGGCCAUCCACUACAAGU